rnacentral:rRNA from 1 species
AGUGAACGUUGGCGGCGUGGAUUAGGCAUGCAAGUCGAGCGAGAACCGUAGCAAUACGGGGACAGCGGCGAAAGGGACAGUAAUGCGUAGGUACCUACCUCCGGGUUCGGGAUAGCUGCGGGAAACUGCAGGUAAUACCGAAUAACGUCUCCGGACCAAAGGUGUGAUUCCACCUGGCGAGGGGCCUGCAUCCUAUUAGCUUGUUGGCGGGGUAACGGCCCACCAAGGCGACGAUGGGUAGCGGGUGUGAGAGCACGACCCGCGUCAUUGGGACUGAGACACUGCCCAGACACCUACGGGUGGCUGCAGUCGUGAAUCUUCGGCAAUGGGCGCAAGCCUGACCGAGCGACGCCGCGUGCGGGAUGAAGGCCUUCGGGUUGUAAACCGCUGUCGUAGAGGAGGAAAUGCAGGGGGGUUCUCCCCUCUGUUUGACCUAUUCUAGGAGGAAGUACGGGCUAAGUUCGUGCCAGCCGCCGCGGUAA